rnacentral:rRNA from 1 species
GAUGAACGCUGGCGGCGUGCCUAAUACAUGCAAGUCGAGCGAAUGGAUUAAGAGCUUGCUCUUAUGAAGUUAGCGGCGGACGGGUGAGUAACACGUGGGUAACCUGCCCAUAAGACUGGGAUAACUCCGGGAAACCGGGGCUAAUACCGGAUAGCAUUUUGAACCGCAUGGUUCGAAAUUGAAAGGCGGCUUCGGCUGUCACUUAUGGAUGGACCCGCGUCGCAUUAGCUAGUUGGUGAGGUAACGGCUCACCAAGGCAACGAUGCGUAGCCGCCCUGGGAGGGUGAUCGGCCACACUGGGACUGAGACACGGCCCAGACUCCUACGGGAGGUAGCAGUAGGGAAUCUUCCGCAAUGGACGAAAGUCUGACGGAGCAACGCCGCGUGAGUGAUGAAGGCUUUCGGGUCGUAAAACUCUGUUGUUAGGGAAGAACAAGUGCUAGUUGAAUAAGCUGACACCUUGACGGUACCUAACCAGAAAGCCACGGCUAGCUACGUGCCAGCCGCCGCGGUAA